rnacentral:rRNA from 1 species
GACGAACGCUGGCGGCGUGCCUAACACAUGCAAGUCGAACGAGAUCCAUGGGAGCUUGCUCCCGGAAGAUCUAGUGGCGAACGGGUGAGUAACACGUGAGAAACCUGCCCUGGAGUGGGGAAUAACUCGGGGAAACUCGAGCCAAUACCGCAUACCCUCGGAUGGUCGCAUGGCCGACCGGGGGAAAAGAUUUUAUCGGCUCUAGGAGGGUCUCGCGGCCUAUCAGCUAGUUGGUGGGGUAACGCCUACCAAGGCAACGACGGGUAGCUGGUUUGAGAGAACGAUCAGCCACACUGGGACUGAGACACGGCCCAGACUCCUACGGGAGGCAGCAGUGGGGAAUCUUGCGCAAUGGGCGAAAGCCUGACGCAGCAACGCCGCGUGCGGGAUGACGGCUCGUGUGUAACGCUUCAGCAGGGACGAAAAUGAGGUACCUGCAGAAGAAGCCCCGGCUAAC